ACCUGGCUGAUCUCCGGUGGUCCGGGGUGUAGGCUUCAAACCUGUAGCUGAUUAGAGUCAGAGUGGUUCGAUUCCACCUGCCAGGU
rfam:Tropilaelaps mercedesae isolate Wuxi-XJTLT scaffold0000022667, whole genome shotgun sequence.